rnacentral:lncRNA from 1 species
UUAAUAUAUAGAGCAACCUUCCAUUUUCAUUCUCCUCCUUAGUUGCCUUCCAAAAAAAUGAAUGCAUUAAAAAAUGAUUGGGAGAGGAAUCCGACAAACAAAUAUAGGAUGGAUCAGUACCAAAAGAUAAUAUGAAAAAAACAUUAUAGAAUCUAAUAGGGGGGACAUCAUAGAGUUUUAUAAAAAAUGGGACAAAGAUGAUGAUCUUUUGAAGGAAAGACAAUCAAGAAAAAAUGAGAGAAGCUAAGCAUAUAUUAACCAAAAUAUAUUUGUUACCUAUCUUCCUAAAGAUGAUAGAUCCUAAGUAAUAGAUUAAGAGAAUCUGUUAAAUAAAACUGAGCUAGGAGACAUAGAGUAGAGAAAGAGAAGUACCGUCAAAUUUCAACAACAACUCGAGCUUAAAUAUAUCAUCUGCAAACAACCCAUGAAUCGUUUAAAUACAAAAAGAAAACCAAAGAAAGAGAUCCAGAAAAUCAAGAGUGAUACCUACACUUUGGGAGAACAUGAUUCAAAUUUGGUGAAUGAAACUUUUACCUCCUGAUGCGAGAAUGUGAAAAACAAAAUAAAAAGAGGAUUAGAAAAUUAGGGAUCCUAAAGUAAAUUGAAGAAAAUUAGGGAUUUCAAAAAUGAACAUACCUUAGAGGGAGGAGCUCAGUUUCAAUAUACAUGGAUAUUUUGGAGUUCAUCAAAUGAAGAAGUGUGUGUCUAUGGUGUUUAGAGAGAGAGAGAGAUGAGAGUUUGAAAUUUGAAAGUUGAGAAUUUGUUUUCAAUAUCCAUGGGUUGAGGUUUUGUUUGACUUGGGUUGAAAGUGACGGGACACUGUUCCUUUGCUUGCUGUCUGACCAGGUUUUGUCCAUAUCCAAUUUAAGUUUGUUUGUUCACCAAAAUAGGAUCCAAGGAUAACAAAAGAAGAGGGAAAUUCAAACUUUUGAAUUUUACUUCCAACUCAAGCAACCAAGUUGGACCACUAAGUUAAAAAGGGUAAAAAUCUCUUAUUUGAAUUGGCAAAGACCUAUAAAAAUCUCUUAUUUGAAUUGGCAAAGACAUAUAAUAAAAUUUGCUUAAAUUUGCUACUCCCAAAUUUCACUUCAACAUGGAUAUACACUUUGACAAUAGAUAUGAUCCUGAAAAAAAUAAAAAGGUUUUUUUCUCAUAAGAUAUCAAAGCCUUUCCAAUCAAUAACAUAUCAAAGUCUUUAUAAUAAUAACAAUAGUAUAUUUUAUGAGGAAUGUAUAAUAUUUUACUCACAAUAAUAUAUGUGCUCAAAGGAAACAUGUUAAUUUUGCUCCAUCAUCUUCUUAGUUACCAUCCUUUGAACUCAACCUGCAAUAUUAUACAGUGAGGGUGUCAAAAAAUAGCACUUAAUUUUGUAACACGGUAAUAUGAGGAAGACAAAUAAGCAAAAUUUCCCUAACAUGAGUUUGCAUUUGUAUAUUAUUAAGAUUGGAUAAAAGAAAACAUAUACAUACUUCAGUCAACUAUAUACAAAACAGAGCAAAGUGAUCUUUAAACUAUGAGAAUCUACUUUUUUAAAACUUUAGACCAUUACAAACUGAGCUAUAUACUAUUUAGAUUGUCAUGAAGCAUGAUAUAAUAUAUCUAAUAG